rnacentral:rRNA from 1 species
GGCUUAACUUGGUUGUGGGGUAAAGGGUCUACCAGGAGAUGAUUCCUUGGCCCCCUGGAGAAGACUGAUCGGCCACAUUUGGGACUGAGACACGGCCAAACUCCUACGGGAGGCUGCAGUAGGGAAUCUUUCCACAAUGGGCGAAAGCUGCUGAGCACGCCGCGUGUGUGAUGAAGGUUUCGGUCGAAAGCACUGUGGUAUGAGAAGACCAGCUUUGAAUAGGGAAUGAUU